rnacentral:rRNA from 1 species
UGCCAGCCGCCGCGGUAAUACGGAGGGUGCAAGCGUUAAUCGGAAUUACUGGGCGUAAAGCGCUCGUAGGCGGUUGAUUGGUCAGUCAGAUGUGAAAGCCCCGGGCUCAACCUGGGAACUGCACCUGAUACUGCCAGUCUAGAAUACGGUAGAGGGUAGUGGAAUUUCCUGUGUAGCGGUGAAAUGCGUAGAUAUAGGAAGGAACACCAGUGGCGAAGGCGGCUUUCUGGACCAAUACUGACGCUGAGAUGCGAAAGCGUGGGGAGCGAACAGGAUUAGAUA